ensembl:miRNA
CUUGGGCCCAGAUCCUAAGACGUAUUUAGAUGCUUAACAUUAGAUACCUAAAUAUCUUUCAGGAUCUGGGCCCUGA